rnacentral:rRNA from 1 species
UGAUUCGUCACACUAUCGUUAACUGAAUACAUAGGUUAACGAGGCGAACCGGGGGAACUGAAACAUCUAAGUACCCCGAGGAAAAGAAAUCAACCGAGAUUCCCCCAGUAGCGGCGAGCGAACGGGGAGCAGCCCAGAGUCUGAAUCAGCUUGUGUGUUAGUGGAACGGUCUGGAAAGUCCGACGGUACAGGGUGAUAGUCCCGUACACCAAAAUGCACAGGCUGUGAACUCGAAGAGUAGGGCGGGACACGUGGUAUCCUGUCUGAAUAUGGGGGGACCAUCCUCCAAGGCUAAAUACUCCUGACUGACCGAUAGUGAACCAGUACCGUGAGGGAAAGGCGAAAAGAACCCCGGCGAGGGGAGUGAAAAAGAACCUGAAACCGUGUACGUACAAGCAGUGGGAGCACCUUCGGGUGUGACUGCGUACCUUUUGUAUAAUGGGUCAGCGACUUAUAUUCUGUAGCAAGGUUAACCGUAUAGGGGAGCCGCAGGGAAACCGAGUCUUAACUGGGCGUUAAGUUGCAGGGUAUAGACCCGAAACCCGGUGAUCUAGCCAUGGGCAGGUUGAAGGUUGGGUAACACUAACUGGAGGACCGAACCGACUAAUGUUGAAAAAUUAGCGGAUGACUUGUGGCUGGGGGUGAAAGGCCAAUCAAACCGGGAGAUAGCUGGUUCUCCCCGAAAGCU